AAAAUGACUCUCGGCAACGGAUAUCUCGGCUCUCGCAUCGAUGAAGAACGUAGCGAAAUGCGAUACUUGGUGUGAAUUGCAGAAUCCCGUGAACCAUCGAGUCUUUGAACGCAAGUUGCGCCCCAAGCCUUUAGGCCGAGGGCACGCCUGCCUGGGYGUCACACA
rnacentral:rRNA from 1 species